GCUCUCAGCCUUUGUCCUCCUCGGUUCCUCUCACGUCUGCCUCUCUCACGCCUCUGCCUUUUCUCCCUCCCUUCAACCCCUCCUCCAGCUGACCCACGUGGGACGUUCUGGUGACAGGCCCUAGAGGAGGCGGAGGCCCGGGCGGAUCUGUCACAGCUGAGCGCAAACGGAUGCUGGGAUGCUCGUGGUGGACAGACUGCGCAUCCUGAGUAGGCCCCGACCAUAGCCCGGGCUCUGGACUCUGCCUGUCAUCCGGUCCAAGAAAUUUCAGCCCUUAUCAAGCCUCUGCUUGGCUAAUCUGACUGCUGUCAUCAGCGGAGGCCCUAUGGUGCCUACAGAAGCACAAGACACAGGAAAAGACUUCCCAAAGGAGAUCUGAGUCCUGCUAAUGCCCUUCAGAUCAUGUCUGAUUGAGUGGUGAGCAGUCCAGGCGGGCAGAUCGAGUCACUAACCACACAAGAAAUCUCGACUGCAGGAAGAAAACAGGAGAAUUUUGGAGAAAAGGCAACUCCGUUAUUCCUCCAAAAGUAUCUGAAAAUGAAAGCAGGGGAGACAAUUUCAGACAUAAUGAAGUUACAUGAAUAAAAUGGGCCUAAAUACA